GCCUUGAUGGUCCAGUGGUUAAGACUCCACGCUCCCAGUGCAGAGGGCCCAGGUUUGAUCCCUGGUCAGGGAA
rfam:TPA: Bos taurus chromosome 18, whole genome shotgun sequence.